CCUACGGGAGGCAGCAGUGGGGAAUAUUGCACAAUGGGGGAAACCCUGAUGCAGCGACGCCGCGUGAGUGAAGAAGUAAUUCUUUAUGUAAAGCUCUAUCAGCAGGGAAGAAAAUUACGGUACCUGAGUUAGAAUCUCUGGCCAACUCCGUGCCAGCAGCCGCGGUAAUACGUAGGGGGCAAGCGUUAUCCGGAUUUACUGGGUGUAAAGGGAGCGUAGUCGGCAGUGCAAGUCUGGAGUGAAAGGCGGGGGCUCAACCGCCAGAUUGCACUGGAAACUGUACGGCUGGAGUGCAGGAGAGGUAGGUGGAAUUCGUAGUGUAGCGGUGAAAUGCGUAGAUAUUAGGAGGAACACCAGUGGCGAAGGCAGCUUACUGGACUGUAACUGACGUUGAGGCUCGAAAGCGUGGGGAGCAAACAGGAUUAGAUACCCCUGUAGUC
rnacentral:rRNA from 1 species